rnacentral:misc_RNA from 1 species
GAUGAAGAACGUAGCGAAAUGCGAUAAGUAAUGCGAAUUGCAGAAUUUCCGUGAGUCAUCGAAUCUUUGAACGCACAUUGCGCCCGCUAGUAUUCUGGCGGGCAUGCCUGUCUGAGCGUCAUUUCAACCCUCGCCCCCGGCUUUUGCUGGGAGCGGUGUUGGGGAUCGGCCGCCCGUCACUGGGAGGCCGGCCCCGAAAUAGAGUGGCGACCACGCCGUGUGCUCCUCUGCGUAGUAGUAAAUCACCUCGCAGGCGGACAGCGGUGCGGCCUGCCGUAAAACCCCCAACUCUUUCUGGUUGACCUCAGAUCAGGUAGGAAUACCCGCUGAACUUAAGCAUAUCAAUAAGCGGAGGA